GUGCUGCUCCUUUACCCACAUCAUCACCAACAGUUGGUGGGAGAGUAUCCAUGUAAUCUCGGUCUUCUGGGGCAUCUCCAUUAUUUGCAGAUGGAGAUAUGACAUCGUCAUACAAAUCUAUCUGAUCAUGCCCACCAUAUUCAGCUUCCUGGUUGAACUCUUCGCCGACAUCCGCGUAAAUGUCUAUGUGGUCCACGCCGUCC
rnacentral:lncRNA from 1 species